AUUGAACGCUAGCGGGAUGCUUUACACAUGCAAGUCGAACGAGUGGCGGACGGGUGAGUAAUAUAUCGGAACGUGCCCAGUAGCUGGGGAUCACUACCCGAAAGUAUGGCUACUUCCGCACACUAUUGGAGCGGCCGAUAUGGGAUUAGCGAGUUGGUGGGGGAAAGGCACACCAAGGCAACGAUCCGUAGCUGGUUUGAGAGGACGACCAGCCACACUGGAACUGAGACACGGCCCAGACUCCUACGGGAGGCAGCAGUGGGGAAUUUUGGACAAUGGGGGAAAGCCUGAUCCAGCCAUCCCGCGUGUAUGAGAAGGCCUUCGGGUUGUAAAGUACUUUUGGCAGAGAAGCGGUAUCUGCAGAAUAAGCACCGGCUAACUACGUGCCAGCAGCCGCGGUAAUUC
rnacentral:rRNA from 1 species